UACUGCGUCACCCAGCCGGCGCGCUUCCCCUCUCUAGGCAUGGAGGCUCAGGCUUCACCCGGGCCGCAAACAUGCCCCGCAACCGGUUCCUGUUUUUCAAUUGAUUGCCAGUUCUGCACUAGAGCUCCCAAGCAAGAAUAGCUUCCCAGGAUUUUCCAUGCUAUUUGAGGUUGGCAAAAUUGAUUAUGGUAUUAGUUGAAUAUAUGCAUUGAAUAUAUGAAGAACGAAAUUCUCCAACACUUCUGGAGGAGCUCAAAAAAAGUACAUGACUACCUGGAGGUGCCAGGCAUUGAGCCUGGGACCUUUGCAUGCAAGGCAAAUCAAAGAAUCAUAGAAUGGUGGAGCUGGGUCUACACAGUCAUUGAGUUCAACCCCUGCUCAAUGCAGGAAUCCAGCUUAAAGCAUACCCGACAGGUGGCUGUCCAGCUGCCUAUUGAAUGCCUCUAGUGUUGGAGAGCCCACCACCUCCCUAGAACACAUGAACAUCCAAUGCAGCUCAAUGUUGGAAGAUUCAGAAUGGACAAAAAAAGUACUUCUUCAUGCAACACAUAGUUCUAUGAUGAGCUUCCGGUGGGCCUUGAAGACCUGGCUCUUCAGGCAGGCUUUUGGGAAUUAUGGAGCAAUGCCGUGUACAAGGCAUUGCUACAACACUGCAAACAGAAGUCCUGAACAGAAGACAACAUCAUUGUCCUUAUGUAUAUCCUGAAUAAAGGAUAAAUUUAUUCCAUCAGAGAAUUUAUUCCAUCAUUUAUUCAUCCAUCAGAGAAACUAAGGCUGAUUCAGUCCUAUAACUACACCCGAACCCAUACUGAAAUGGAUCAAGAUAACUGGUUUCAUCCAAGAGUACUUGCAAUUGUUGCACCACAACUUUCUCAAUUACCUUCCCCCAAAAUGGGUAUUUGCAUUUAGGUGGUAGUUGUUGCAAACCAAUGGAUUCAGGGUGGGUUUUUUCAGGAGUGGUUAGAUCACUGUCUCUUUCAGGAUAGCCAGGACCACUUCCUUUCACAAGAAAGUAUUGGCUGCACAUUGGAUUGACUCAGUCGUAUGAUCUUUGUGUGUGUGGUCUUGUAGUGAUGUACAGAUGUGGUCCUGGACAUUGGUAGAACAUCACACAAAAUACCUUGACAGAACCAGAGAUAUGAUCACAUUAAGAAUGUUUUUUUUUUUUUACUGAUGUUUUAUCGGUGCACACAUGCAUCUCAGGCAAGAGAUGGGAAAGUAAUAAGCAAGUGACUGAGAGAAGAGACCCAGGUGAGAGCUGGGAGGGAAGGUUGCUUCAAAUGAGAGGUGGUGCUACUAUCCAAUGUAUUUAAUUGUGGUGAGCAUCUGUGGAAUAUCUUUCUGUAAUAUUGACUUUACCCUCCAGGUUUGUAUACUAUUGUUUUAUUUUUGUGUUAGGUAUUCUUUUCCUGUAUUAAUGUAAUUUUAUAUAAUGCUGUAUGGAUUGAUUUUCUGUAUUGUUUAACAUUAUAAUUAUUUUUAGUUUAGUUUAAUUGUGAUAUUUACUGUUGUUUGCUUGAUAUGUUGCAAAUCACUUUGGGCACAAGUGGGAAAGUGGAAUAUAAAUAAAAAGCUGAUGCUGAUAUCAGUAAUGCACAUACUGUAUAAGUAAGCUGUAAUUCAGGGUAUAAGUCAAAAUCAUAAAU